GGCCGUCCCGCGUCAGCACAAAGGCACACUUCUUUCCAGGAGGUGCCACUCGGGCAUAACGCAGCAAAAAUUCGCCACCUGGUGGUGGAGAAGUCGGCCUGCUAGAACUCAGGAAGCCAGACGGAGCUGGUCGCUGUCCCGUGACUGUCAUUCAGCUGACCCAGCGGCGCCCCACCCGACCCCUCCUCCGGGAGGUGCCGCAGAGCCUGGGGGCGGGGCUUGGCGGUCGCACGACUCCGCCCCCCGUGCUCCGGCACCGCCCCCACGCUGGCCCGGCCCAGACCCCUCGGGCCCCGGAGUCGGAAAGGAGGCGGGCAGUGGCCGCGGCUGGGCGCCCUGGGCUCAAGAUCCUCCUGGGGAGAAAUGCUGGCCCUUGGGUCCCCGGCAAGAGUGACGGGAUGCGGCACAGCCCCUCCUGGCUGGUUGGCGGGAAGUACCAACCCCGCCCGUUUAACCCCUGCACACCACCCACCCUGGCAAUUGCGCCAGCAGCGGGGCUGCGAGGAGCUACUUCGAGAGAGUUCCGUUCCUUCUCUUUCUGGGGCCUGGCCCACGUGCAGGAUGGAGCCCGGGCAGGAGAGGAUCCGCUCCAGUGGCACCUGCUGGGCCUCGGACACGGGAACCACCCGCAGGCGAUACCCGUGCGUCCUGGGGAGCGGACACCGCGAAGAGAGUCCUCCCCAGCUCAGUCCUCCCCAGCCAUUCGCGGGGGCCCGUGGCCGAUGACCCGCUCUCUAGACAGGGAGUCGGGAGCGGCUGCCCAGGGCACUCCUCCCCUGUGUUCUAAACCCCGGCUACCGUGGGACCUUCUGCGGGCAACCAGGCCCUGGCCCAGCUCAGUCCCAAGGGCCAGGGGCCUUGGCAGACCCUUGAAACUUGGGAAGCAGUCUUGGAUGGAGAGGCGCCCGGGUGGGGCGGGCAGCCCUGGGGGAGGGUCACACCCCUGGCCUCGAAGUCCCACGAGCCCAGACACAGUAAAACAGAAGGUGCUUAUUUCAAAAAAAGUCUUUUAAUUGUUCAAAAUAGCACAAAACGACAUCGCACUAUGGUAAUAUUGAGUCACAGGGGUUACUCUACAAUAGAUGAACGGGUGUACUGUUCUCAGAAAC